CAAAGCAUAGCUUAAUUAGUAAAGCAUCUCCCUUACACCGAGAAAUUGUCCAUGCGACUUGGACUGCCUUGA
rnacentral:tRNA from 3 species